rnacentral:tRNA from 2 species
CCUUCGAUAGCUCAGUUGGUAGAGCGGUGGACUGUAGAGGUGACGCUGUCAGCAAAUAGUAAUCCAUAGGUCGCUGGUUCAAAUCCGGCUCGAAGGA